CAAAUGCCGCGGGAACUGUCGCAGACUUUUUCGCAGGGAAACAGUUCUGUCAAACAUGAUUUUUGCUAAACUUUAACCAGCGCACGCAGCGUAAGCUCUCAAUAGGAAAAAAUCCCCCGAUUUUGAAACAUUAUUCAUUGGUGCUCCGCUCCUUUUAGUCCUUUUAGUCUUAGCGUGAUAAUAUAAAGCCUAUAAGCCUUCCUCGAUAAAUGGGCUAUCUAAUACUGAAAGAAUUUUUUAAAUCGCGUUCAAUUCAAAUCAAUUAAAGCGCGUUCAAACAAAAAAACUCUUCAGCUUUAUAAUAUUAACUUAUAUUGAGGCUUUGCGUCGGUUUGCUAGUUCAAGUGUGUUGUGCCAUUAGAUGCAGAACAGCCUGGCGCAGGGCAUGUUCAUGGCGGGCGGGCGCGGGUACGGCGGCGCCGCGCUGCAGGGCCCGCUGGCGUAUCUGGAGAAGACUGCCACCAACAUAGACAUGGUGGGUCUGGGCGAUGGACGCAGGUGACGCGGCCGCGGGAGGGGCAGGGGCCGGGGCCGCGGCAGAGGCCGGGGUCGUGGUGCAUCCCCUGAGUAUGGCGGCAGCAUGACGCCGCCGUAGCACCCUCCCGGCGCGCUGCGCUCUCUCCGCUCUCUCCGACACUCUCUCACAACCGCUCAUUGUAGAACAUCGCUCUCUGCGCUACAUCACUAACUUAUCUGUACAGUGGCUAAAAGAGGAUUUAUGUUUACUUCUUUUUGAAUUACGUUGAAUUGAGCGUAUAAUUUUCACGAAUUGUACCCGCUGUGAAUCUAAAUUUUAGAUUUAUAUAUAUUUAUUAUUUUUAAAAGUAUUACACGUAAUAAACUAGGAAAUUUUUCAAGUUACGAGUUUUAAAUUCAUAGGAUUGCUAUUUUUUAAACAGCGCCAUCUAUGUUAGCAUCUGUGUAAACAUGUUUAUAAAUUUACAAUGUAGGUGUCGCUAAAGUUACAGUGGUUUUUUUAUUUGACUUUCAGGGCUCUUGGUUCCAGUAUUUAAAAAAAGUGGCAUAUGAAGAUUCACGUUUUUUCUUCCACUAAUAGUCCAUGAUCAUUCUAUAUUAUCAAAGUGAAUAACCAAGGAUUUUAUAUUUCUGGUCACUACACACUUAGUAUAUUAGCUAAAUUAUUAUUAACAUAUUUUGCACUUGACUUAUUCUAUAAUUUUGGUGAGGAAUAUCUUAUGCGAUGAGUUUAAUUGACUGCUGACCUGAUUCGUUGCCACAUCAUGCUUCCUCAUGCUCUAUAGGUGUCCAUAUACUAACCUUCUCUGUUAUAGAAAACAUAAAAUAUACACUUUUAUUUUAUUAAAUCGGUCGAUACCGUUCUUAAGCUUUAUCGAACUAACGAACCGAUAAUAAGCUAUACUACUACAGAACAAAUAAUAAUAGUUUAUUGUAUUUAAAUACUUUUUUAAUGUAAUUUUUAUACAUUUUAAUAAAUAAUAUAUAUAUCAAAAUAUAUAUUUUUCGUGAUUACAAAAAUAUUUCCGACUUAGGUAGACCUGUACAGUCACUACACUGACACUGUACACACUGUACAGUAUGCUGACAAUUGUCUAG